rfam:Picea glauca, whole genome shotgun sequence.
AUUUACAUUCCUACAACAUAGAUUUAAUGCAUCAGAUCACAUUAGAACACCGUAGUUAAGCGCGCUCGGGCUAGAGUAGUAUUGGUAUGGGUGUCUACCUAGGAAGUCCUAGUGUUUUACAUG